rnacentral:rRNA from 1 species
GACGAACGCUGGCGGCGUGCCUAACACAUGCAAGUCAACUUGACUGAAGGAGCAAUCUGACAGUAGAGUGGCGCAAGGGUGCGUAACGCGUAAGUAACUUGCCCAAGGUAAGGAAUAACGUCGAGAAAUCGGCGCUAAUACCUCAUAAUGCAGCGGAUCCGCAUGGAUAUGUUGUUAAAGGUUUACCGCCUUGGGAUAGGCUUGCGUCUGAUUAGCUAGUUGGUGUGGUAAACGGCACACCAAGGCUACGAUCAGAAACUGGUCUGAGAGGAUGAUCAGUCACACUGGAACUGAGACACGGUCCAGACUCCUACGGGAGGCAGCAGUGAGGAAUAUUGGGCAAUGCUCGAAAGAGUGACCCAGCAACGCCGCGUGGAGGAUGAAGGUAUUCUAUAUCGUAAACUCCUGUGAGAGCAGACGAAAGACAGAUUAUUAAUCUGGAUGACUGUAUGCUCAGAGGAAGCCCCGGCUAACUACG